rnacentral:tRNA from 2 species
GGAAAGUUGUCAGAGUGGUCGAAUGUGCACGCUUGGAAAGCGUGUAUACGUUAGUGCGUAUCGGGGGUUCGAAUCCCCCACUUUCCG